GCCGAGGUGGCGGAAUUGGUAGACGCACUAGGUUCAGGUCCUAGCGCCUGCAAGGGUGUGGGGGUUCGAAUCCCUUCCUCGGCA
rnacentral:tRNA from 1 species